rnacentral:lncRNA from 1 species
GGCACAGCUGGGCCUCAGGGGCCCGGGAAGGGGAAGGCGUCUCCGUACCUGGCUGACAGCGGUUGCAGCACUUGCCCUUGUGCUCGUACUGCUUAUCAGAGCAUCUCACGGCGUCACCAGGACCCCAGCACUGGAAGAGAUGAGGUUUGUGAAAUGACACUGCUCCGCCACGCUCCUGCACGGCCACAGCUGCUGGCACGCGCGUGCCACCUCAUGUGCUCACCCACGCCCCGAGGUGAGGUCUUCCCUGCACCACGCUUCCCAUGCCUGCACUAACCACAGACCGCAGCAGAGCCGCCCGCGCUGCCUGGUGCUACCAGUGCUCGCUUUGAAGUGGGAUGGAAGCAGCUCUGGCAGGGUGGCCCCAUGUUUCCUCAGAUUUUCUACCAGGCUGCACAUCACCUUGGGCCCCUGCCACUGCCCACAGCGCUGCAGCACUGCCCAGGGGGAGCAGCAUCAACGGCGACCCCCGACCCAGCAGAGCACGGCCAGCCCCUUCCGAGGCCAAUGCACCAGCCCCGGGGGGCAGCAGGCCCCAGGCAGGCAGGUCAGCUCUGCGCAGCCGCCCACCAUCCCCCCUUGGUCCCCCCUAGCAGGGGGACUGCUUGCUCAGGGCAGGGUGGGAAGGGAGCAGGGAGCUGUCCUUGUCCCGGGGGCUCGGAUCUCAAGCCAGGCAGGAGGACACCCGUGGCAUUGUCCCUCGCGAGCCCAGCACUGCGCAUCUCUGGCACUGGCUGCUCCUGGUGAGUCUGCCAGGCCCGGGGACAGGGAGGGAAGCCCAGCAGGGCCCUGGAGCAAGAAGGCUGCGAGGACUCGUAGUGAGGGAGGGCUGGGGGCCAGGCCCGCAGCAGCUCCAUGCUCUGCAGACCCCCGCGGGGUCCCGCGGGCAGCCCUGGUGCCACGGCGCUGCUCUGCCCGAGGGGCAGCGGGGCCGGGGGCAGCGGGGCUCCGGUGUGGGAAACCUGAGGCUGCAGAGGGAACUGCCCCUGUCACCGUGCGUUUGUGACUUCGGGCAGGAAAGGGAACUGAAAGAGGUGCUCGGGCUCCCGGCCCUGCCCCUGCUCACACCGCCCAGCCCCCCGGGGCCCGUUCCGUGCUCCGAGCCCUCGAGACCCCGCGCCCGGAGCCCCCCGGCCGGGCUGCAGCCCCCGGCCCAGCGGUGCUCAGCUCUGCCCCAGCCCCUCCGGCACAGAGCGGAGCUGAGCCGGGGCGGUCCGCGGGGGGACC